AUUUGGAUUUUUGGGAUAUGAUUUGGACUCCAAUACCUGUUUAAAUUUUGUAAACAAAUUCAAAAAUAAAUAAACCUUAAAAGCCUCAAAUUCAAAAAUAAAAAAUAUAAGACAUAUAAAUUUAAAUAAUGUAUGCUAAAAGUCUAAAAUUGACAUACAAUUAGGUCAGUUUGGAUAUUUGAAUAGAAAAUUACUAGGUAUCUAGGAUGUUUUUGAUGUUUUGAUUAUUUUUUUGAUAUUGUAAAUAUUUUCCUUUUCGUUGUCUUUGGAUUUUU
rnacentral:lncRNA from 1 species